GUUUUAGUAGUUUAAUUAAAAAACAUUGAUCUUGUAAAUCAAAAAUAUUCAUUCUAAAACA
rnacentral:tRNA from 1 species